GGAGAGAUGUCCGAGUGGCUGAAGGAGCGCGCCUGGAAAGCGCGUAGGCGUUAACGCGUCUCCCGGGUUCGAAUCCCGGUCUCUCCGCCA
rnacentral:tRNA from 1 species